GCUCUUCAGACCCACAUCCCUUCUCCCAGUGACUGAACAGUCCCAGCUCCGGCUGGAGAAGGGCGUCUGCAGACCCCGCUGUUGCCUCCCAGGGGAGUCUCCAGGCCCAGCUCUCGCCCCACCGCGACCUCCCAGGCCCAAGUCCCUGCCUACCUCCCAGCAGCCCGAGUGCGAUCCUGUUCCUCCCUCACGGUGGCCUGUUGAGGCAGGGGGUCACGCUGACCUCUCUCAGCGUGGGAGGGGCCGGGGUGAGGCAAGGGGCUCACGCUGACCUCUCUCCGCGUGGGAGGGGCUGGUGUGAGGCAAGGGCUCAGGCUGACCUCUCUCAGCGUGGGAGGGGCCGGUGUGAGGCAAGGGGCUCACGCUGACCUCUGUCCGCGUGGGAGGGGCCGGUGUGAGACAAGGGGCUCACACUGACCUCUCUCAGCGUGGGAGGGGCCGGUGUGAGGCAAGGGCUCACACUGACCUCUCUCAGCAUGGGAGGGGCCGGUGUGAGACAAGGGGCUCGGGCUGACCUCUCUCAGCGUGGGAGGGGCCGGUGUGAGGCAAGGGGCUCACGCUGACCUCUGUCCGCGUGGGAGGGGCCGGUGUGAGGCAAGGGCUCACACUGACCUCUCUCAGCGUGGGAGGGGCCGGUGUGAGGCAAGGGGCUCACGCUGACCUCUGUCCGCGUGGGAGGGGCCGGGGUGAGGCAAGGGCUCACACUGACCUCUCUCAGCGUGGGAGGAGCCAGUGUGAGGCAGGGGCUCACGCCUCUGGGCAGGGUGCCAGAGGCAUGAGUUGGGCAUCAACAGGCCACCGUGAGGGAGGAGCUGGGCCGCACGCGGGCUG
rnacentral:lncRNA from 1 species